GGGAGCCCCAGACACCACCUGCCCCCUCCUCGACUCGGAGCUCCUCUUCGGACCGUUUCCUGAACUUUAAUGACGGGCAAUUAGCGCGGAAAGGACACAGGACUCAGACAAGACCAAUGAGACUCCAUUUUUUAAAGAUCCCCAAAUUCCUGGGAAGAAGCCCUUUUCUUCUUGCAUUUGAAGGUGGCACAUGUUGUGUGGCUGUUGCUGGUGUCGUCACAUGGGGCCUGCCUGAAAGUGAAACCAACACAGGAGGAAGUGAAGCCAGAAGACGGAGAGAGACUGGGUCCUCCUUAUAUCCUGGGAGCCCUUGGAUCCAGCUUGCCAGAGAGGCUCUACCCCUAAAUUUCCAGCUAUAGGUGCCAACAGACCUCUUACUUCCUUUCUAGUUGGUUUGAGCUGGGUUUCUGCCCCUAACAAAUGAAAAAGUCCUCACCAAUAUAAAAGUCACAGAAAAAAAGGCUUUUUGUGUGUAAUGGGAAAGCCAAAGAGAUAAUCAUGUGUGUUUCUAGUGACUCACAAAUAGGAGCUCUUCUGUUCUGAGAAAACCACAACUUUAGAUCAAGAAAGGGUCUUAGUGAUCAUCUACCCCCAAAAUUACAUUUUUCCCAACGAAGAUACUAGAGAAUUCAGGAAAGUACCCAGAGUUGUGGCAAUUCCACAGUAGAGUUAAGACCAAAACUCAAAUCUCCUGAAAACCUGAUCAGUAGAAAGUUCAUAUUGAGACAUUUGCUACAUCAUUUAAACAUAUUUGGCCAAGAGACGCACAUAGUUACAAGAAGAUUGUAACAGAUUCCUUUGCUCUAUUAAAGAAUAACCACAACAG